UUUUCCAAGACCCAACCUAUGCGACAAUACUCGCUGAUAACCUCCCCUAAAAGGAAGCAGGUGUGCGGGCCGAAGUUAGUCUAAGGUAGAUAGAUGCAUGCAUAAAACGGACCCUUAACUGGUCGGCGGCUUUGAAGGUUUUUCGUGCCGCUUAACGGUCUCAAGUUGGUCUCAUCAGACCAACUCUCAAUGAUUGGCAUGAAGAGCAAAGCAAUACGAUCUGUGAAGACUGUGAUGGACGAGCAAAAUAGGGAAGGGGAGAAUGCAUUUGAUUUGUCCCGAGAUCCAACAUGGCUUCUCCACUUGCGUUUGGCUCGUUGCGGGCGCUAAUUUUUAUUUUAUUGUUGUUAUUGUUGGCUGUUCAUUUGUCCAUUCUAUGGAUUCGCUGGGGCCCACAAAGGUAGAUAAGGAUCCAUUUGUAUGCUUGGAAAUUAUGAAGGAGGG
rnacentral:sRNA from 1 species